AACGAACGCUGGCGGCAGGCUUAACACAUGCAAGUCGAACGGGUGUAGCAAUACAUCAGUGGCAGACGGGUGAGUAACACGUGGGAACCCUCCUAGAGGUACGGAACAACUCAGGGAAACUUGAGCUAAUACCGUAUACGCUCGUGAGAGGAAUGAUUUAUCGCCUUUAGACGGGCCCGCGUCGGAUUAGCUAGUUGGUGAGGUAACGGCUCACCAAGGCGACGAUCCGUAGCUGAUCUGAGAGGAUGAUCAGCCACACUGGAACUGAGACACGGUCCAGACUCCUACGGGAGGCAGCAGUGGGGAAUCUUGGACAAUGGGCGCAAGCCUGAUCCAGCCAUGCCGCGUGAGUGAAGAAGGCCUUCGGGUUGUAAAGCUCUUUUGUCAGGGACGAUAAUGACGGUACCUGAAGAAUAAGCCCCGGCAAACUACGUGCCAGCCGCCGCAGUAA
rnacentral:rRNA from 1 species